AUUGAACGCUGGCGGCAGGCUUAACACAUGCAAGUCGGGCGAGCGGCGGACGGGUGAGUAAUGUAUGGGGACUGCCCGAUAGAGGGGGAUAACUACUGGAAACGGUGGCUAAUACCGCAUACUAUCGGAUAACCCAUAUGGGAUUAGCUAGUAGGUGGGGUAAAGGCGCACCUAGGCGACGAUCCCUAGCUGGUCUGAGAGGAUGACCAGCCACACUGGAACUGAGACACGGCCCAGACUCCUACGGAGGCAGCAGUAGGGAAUCUUCGACAAUGGGCGAAAGUCUGACCGAGCAACGCCGCGUGUAUGAAGAAGGUUUUCGGAUCGUAAAGCUCUGUUAUUGGAGAGGCGGUAUCUGACCAAGAAGCCACGGCUAACUACGUGCCAGCAGCCGCGGUAAUAC
rnacentral:rRNA from 1 species